UACGGAGGGGACUAGCGUUGUUCGGAAUUACUGGGCGUAAAGCGCACGUAGGCGGAUUUGUAAGUCAGGGGUGAAAUCCCGGGGCUCAACCUCGGAACUGCCUUUGAUACUGCAAAUCUCGAGCCCGGAAGAGGUGAGUGGAAUUCCUAGUGUAGAGGUGAAAUUCGUAGAUAUUAGGAAGAACACCAGUGGCGAAGGCGGCUCACUGGUCCGGUACUGACGCUGAGGUGCGAAAGCGUGGGGAGCAAACAGGAUUAGAAACCCU
rnacentral:rRNA from 1 species